rnacentral:rRNA from 1 species
GUAGGGAAUAUUGGGCAAUGGAUGCAAGUCUGACCCAGCCAUCCCGCGUGCCGGAAGAAGGCCCUCAGGGUUGUAAACGGCUUUUGACGGUGAAGAAUCGACAGGAUGCGUCCUGUUUUGACGGUAGCCGUUGAAUAAGCACCGGCUAACUCCGUGCCAGCAGCCGCGGUAAUACGGAGGGUGCGAGCGUUGUCCGGAUUUAUUGGGUUUAAAGGGUGCGUAGGCUGGAAGGUCAGUCAGCGGUGAAAAGCUAUCGCUUAACGAUAGUCUUGCCGCAGAUACUUCCUUUCUUGGAUGAGGAGGAGGCCACUGGAACGGAUGGUGUAGCGGUGAAAUGCAUAGAUAUCAUCCAGAACACCGAUUGCGAAGGCAGGUGGCUGUACCUUAAUCGACGCUGAUGCACGAAAGCAUGGGGAGCAAACAGGAUUAGAAACCCCGGUAGUCC